rnacentral:rRNA from 1 species
UACGUAGGGGGCAAGCGUUGUCCGGAAUCAUUGGGCGUAAAGCGCGUGUAGGCGGUCCGGUAAGUCCGCUGUGAAAGUCGGGGGCUCAACCCUCGGAUGCCGGUGGAUACUGUCGGGCUUGAGUACGGAAGAGGCGAGUGGAAUUCCUGGUGUAGCGGUGAAAUGCGCAGAUAGUCGGGAGGAACACCAGUGGCGAAGCGGCGAUCUGG